CUUUGCAUUUCAAGGCUCAAGUCCGUGCCUGAUCUUGGCUGAUCUUGGAAGCUAAGCAGGGUCAGGCCUGGUUAGUACUUGGAUGGGAGACCACCUAGGAAGACCA
rnacentral:rRNA from 1 species